UGGGGAAUUUUGGACAAUGGGGGAAACCCUGAUCCAGCCAUCCCGCGUGUGCGAUGAAGGCCUUCGGGUUGUAAAGCACUUUUGGCAGGAAAGAAACGUCGCGGGUUAAUACCCCGCGGAACUGACGGUACCUGCAGAAUAAGCACCGGCUAACUACGUGCCAGCAGCCGCGGUAAUACGUAGGGUGCAAGCGUUAAUCGGAAUUACUGGGCGUAAAGCGUGCGCAGGCGGUUCGGAAAGAAAGAUGUGAAAUCCCAGAGCUUAACUUUGGAACUGCAUUUUUAACUACCGGGCUAGAGUGUGUCAGAGGGAGGUGGAAUUCCGCGUGUAGCAGUGAAAUGCGUAGAUAUGCGGAGGAACACCGAUGGCGAAGGCAGCCUCCUGGGAUAACACUGACGCUCAUGCACGAAAGCGUGGGGAGCAAACAGGAUUAGAUACCCUGGUAGUCCACGCCCUAAACGAUGUCAACUAGCUGUUGGGGUCUUCGGACCUUGGUAGCGCAGCUAACGCGUGAAGUUGACCGCCUGGGGAGUACGGUCGCAAGAUUAAAACUUAAAUGAAUUGACGGGGGUCAUAGCUGUUU
rnacentral:rRNA from 1 species